rnacentral:piRNA from 1 species
UCCUGAAUGCAGGGAAUCUAGAGCC